UAGGGAAUCUUCCGCAAUGGACGCAAGUCUGACGGAGCAACGCCGCGUGAGUGAAGAAGGAUUUCGGUUCGUAAAACUCUGUUGUUAGAGAAGAACAGCGCAUAGAGUAACUGUUAUGCGUGUGACGGUAUCUAACCAGAAAGCCACGGCUAACUACGUGCCAGCAGCCGCGGUAAUACGUAGGUGGCAAGCGUUGUCCGGAUUUAUUGGGCGUAAAGCGAGCGCAGGCGGUCAAUUAAGUCAGGUGUGAAAGCCCCCGGCUCAACCGGGGAGAGUCAUUGGAAACUGGUUGACUUGAGUGCAGAAGAGGAGAGUGGAAUUCCAUGUGUAGCGGUGAAUUGCGUAGAUAUAUGGAGGAACACCAGUGGCGAAGGCGACUCUCUGGUCUGUAACUGACGCUGAGGCUCGAAAGCGUGGGUAGCAAACAGG
rnacentral:rRNA from 1 species